rnacentral:rRNA from 1 species
AUUGAACGCUGGCGGCAUGCCUUACACAUGCAGGUCGAACGGUAACAGGCCGCAAGGUGCUGACGAGUGGCGAACGGGUGAGUAAUGCAUCGGAACGUGCCCAGUCGUGGGGGAUAACGCAGCGAAAGCUGCGCUAAUACCGCAUACGAUCUAUGGAUGAAAGCGGGGGACCGUAAGGCCUCGCGCGAUUGGAGCGGCCGAUGUCAGAUUGGGUAGUUGGUGGGGUAAAGGCUCACCAAGCCAACGAUCUGUAGCUGGUCUGAGAGGACGACCAGCCACACUGGGACUGAGACACGGCCCAGACUCCUACGGGAGGCAGCAGUGGGGAAUUUUGGACAAUGGGCGCAAGCCUGAUCCAGCAAUGCCGCGUGCAGGAAGAAGGCCUUCGGGUUGUAAACUGCUUUUGUACGGAACGAAACGGUCCUGGUUAAUACCUGGGGCUAAUGACGGUACCGUAAGAAUAAGCACCGGCUAACUACGUGCCAGCAGCCGCAGUAAAAC